CAAAAAGUGGUCUAGUUUGCACUUGUAAACUACAGGAUGCAUUGGUUUGCAAUUCCCAUGCUAGUGGUAAGAUUUAUUUCUAUAUCACCUCUGGUGUAAUGGAAUUAGAUGGAAACUCGCCUUUGGAACUAAGGGCCGGUGGAUUCACAACGUACAAAAAUUAUUAUGAACAACAUCACGGUAUAUCAUUGCAAUUUGAACAUCAGCAGCUGCUUAAAGCAAGACACAAUUUUCA
rnacentral:sRNA from 1 species